GACGAACCGUGCGAACGUUAUUCGGAAUCACUGGGCUUAAAGUGCGUGUAGGCGGAUGGGAACGUCGGUAGUUGAAAGCCCUGGGCUCAACCUGGGAAUUGCAUUGGAUACUGGCAGGCUAGAGUGCGGUAGAGGAUGGCGGAAUUCCCGGUGUAGCAGUGAAAUGCGUAGAGAUCGGGAGGAACAUCUGUGGCGGAAGGCGGCCAUCUGGACCAGCACUGACACUGAGGCACGAAAGCGUGGGGAGCAAACAGG
rnacentral:rRNA from 1 species